rnacentral:misc_RNA from 1 species
GAUGAAGAACGCAGCGAAAUGCGAUAAGUAAUGUGAAUUGCAGAAUUCAGUGAAUCAUCGAGUCUUUGAACGCACAUUGCGCCCCCUGGUAUUCCGGGGGGCAUGCCUGUCCGAGCGUCAUUGCUGCCCUCAAGCACGGCUUGUGUGUUGGGCCCCCGUCCCCGGUUUCCCCGGGGACGGGCCCGAAAGGCAGCGGCGGCACCGCGUCCGGUCCUCGAGCGUAUGGGGCUUUGUCACCCGCUCUGUAGGCCCGGCCGGCGCCAGCCGACACCCAACUUUAUUUCUAAGGUUGACCUCGGAUCAGGUAGGGAUACCCGCUGAACUUAAGCAUAUCAAUAAGCGGAGGA